AGCGAAUAGAUACCCGGGUAGUCCACGCCCUAAACGAUGCAUAUUUGGUGUGGGCAGUUCAUUCUGUCCGUGCCGGAGCUAACGCGUUAAAUAUGCCGCCUGGGGAGUACAGUCGCAAGGCUGAAACUCAAAGGAAUUGACGGGGGCCCGCACAAGCGGUGGAGCAUGUGGUUCAAUUCGACGCAACGCGAAGAACCUUACCUGGGCUCGAACGGCUGGUUAACGGCGGUGGAAACAUCGCUACUCCGCAAGGAGGUCCAGUCGAGGUGCUGCAUGGCUGUCGUCAGCUCGUGUCGUGAGAUGUUGGGUUAAGUCCCGCAACGAGCGCAACCCUUGUCCUGUGUUGCCAUGUCGAAAGACGGAACUCGCAGGAGACCGCCAGGGAUAACCUGGAGGAAGGUGGGGAUGACGUCAAGUCCUCAUGGCCUUUAUGUCCAGGGCUACACACGUGCUACAAUGGACGGUACAAAGCGCAGCGAACUCGCGAGAGGGAGCCAAUCGCAAAAAACCGUUCUCAGUUCGGAUUGCA
rnacentral:rRNA from 1 species